GUAGGUGGCAAGCGUUGUCCGGAAUUAUUGGGCGUAAAGCGCGCGCAGGCGGUUCUUUAAGUCUGAUGUGAAAGCCCACGGCUCAACCGUGGAGGGUCAUUGGAAACUGGAGAACUUGAGUACAGAAGAGGAAAGCGGAAUUCCACAUGUAGCGGUGAAAUGCGUAGAGAUGUGGAGGAACACCAGUGGCGAAGGCGGCUUUCUGGUCUGUAACUGACGCUGAGGCGCGAAAGCGUGGGGGAGCAAACAGGAUUAGAUACCCUGGUAGUCCACGCCGUAAACGAUGAGUGCUAAGUGUUAGGGGGUUUCCGCCCCUUAGUGCUGCAGCUAACGCAUUGAGCACUCCGCCUGGGGAUACGGCCGCAAGGCUG
rnacentral:rRNA from 1 species